UAUGCUGAAGAAAGACGUAAAAAUAUAUCACCAUAUCAUAGAGCAGGCAUAUAUUUAUCUAAAGCAUGACAUGGUCAGAACUAAAUCCCUACCUAUGCAUCUCAUUUAUUAUAUUUUUAACAUGUGUAUACCAACUUAUGUAAUAUUUUAUUUUAGAUCUUCCUACCGAUAAAUAUCAGUAAGACCCACUGGUAUUUAGCGGUCAUCAAUGCGAAGAAACGCUUGAUACAAGUAUUAGACUCACUUGGUCCUGGAAUGGGUAGAACUGACCUCACGUUUAUGCCCCGAGGACUUGAGAAGCACUUAAAGACUGCAUCCCAAAGAAGGGGAUUUGACAAAGGUGAAAAGUGGCACGAUCUCGAUGUCACGACAUGGCCAAUAGUAGAGCAUAUCCGAAAACCACCGCAGACUGAUGGGUAUGUUGAAUCUCUUGAACUUUCGAAUGUGAAAAUUACGGUGAUACAAAAUUAAUGUAUUUAAAGGUGUGUUUGGAUAGUAGUUAAAUUAGACCUUACCAUUGAGUAACGGGCGUGGAGAAGCUCAGCCACUUCUUUUUUUGGUGUAUCAGCUCUAUGUCUCUUCUAUAUGGGUACUAACGUAAUUUCUUGUUUUUCUAGGUCGUGUGGUGCACGGUAGUUCGAUGACAUGUAGAGACAGAAAAUAAAAUUGACUAAGCAGUUGAGCUACCAUGAACCUAUGCAAAAAAAAGUUAUUAAUCCUCUGAUCAAGUAGGUCUGAAAACUCUAAAUUGUUUACAAAAAAUGCGCGGUUUGCCAGUCUGGAGGAUUGGGUAGGUCGAAUGAUAUUUUAGCAUCCUCCAUUGGUACCAGUAGCAUGAAGUAUACCGAAAAUCUUUCUAGCUUGAUGAUUGUUUUAAUAUUUUUUAUGUUGAUUUGUCUAGAUAGAAUUCUACUAUAACAUUUGCUAAUUUUGUAGCACAUCGUGCGGGUUGUUCAUGUUAAAUUUUAUGGAAUAUUGGACAGGCGAUAUGCUUUCUGACUGCAUCACUCAAGUAUUAUUUUUGUUUAGAGACCGUUAGUAGUAUCUUGCAUCUUAAAUUAUUAAUUUACAAUAUCAAUGUUUCUUACUACUUUGUAGGAGGAUAUGAAAGCAUUCCGAAGAAAAUUAAUUGUCAUAUUGCAUGAUUCGGAACUAAACAAAAUAAGAGGCAAUUCGAUAUAUAAUCAAUCUAAAGAUCAAGAAAAUGGAUCCGAUUCUGAUAUUACGGAAUCGCCAAGUCUAGGUAAAGAACACCAAGGAGAUGUAGCCAAAGAAAAUAUCCAGCUUCCUAUUUGCACCUUGUCCACCAAACCACAUGAGUUUGUUGACGAGAUAUGCAAAUACAUCAUGUCCAUUCACGAUGAAACCUGUUUGAAGUAAGCCUCAUAAGAUAAUGAUCAAGCGUCGGUACAUAUUAUUAUCAUAUCAUUUUUCUUAUCAAUUAUUUUACAGAAAAGAAUGGGUGCGAAGCUCCACACCUUAUCCACUAGGAUUAACUCUAAAGCAAAUUCAGGACAUACUCAGGAUGGACAAGCCAAUGGACAAGGAUUGUUUUAACAUGGCUGUGUGCAUAGUGGCAUGUGAUGAGAUACAAUUUUUGAUAGAGCCUCCCGUGCAUAACAUGGACUUAAGAUUUUGUGUAAGUUAUUAUAAUCGCAUAUUUAUUGUCACUGUUAUGGUUCUAAACCUUUUUUUUUCAUCUCACUCGACGAUACUCGAUGGUAGAAAACAUCCAUUUUGGCGUGUCAAGCUAGAUAUUAAGGAGUUGGCAACAUUUUUUACAUAGUUGGCCUGGGAUAGACCAUAAUAUAUCAUCAUGCAACAUGAUUUUUUUGCCACACGAAUUUCUUGGCAACUUCAUCUUGUUCACCAUCGACAAACAUGAGUGUCGUGUAUGUAUUUUAGACCCAUGUUCUGAACCUCUAUCAGAAGAGAGGUACCAACUAAAAUUACAAAGGUGUUCAUUCUAUCUAAAUGACGCUCUUGAGAUAGCGCAACCAAGCUGGAAUUCUGAUAUUUAUUUCUGGACACGUAAAUAUCCUCACAAUAUCCCAAUACCAACAAGCCCCGACAGAAAAUUGUCUGGAUACUUAGUAUUUAGUUUUAUGCUUUCAUGGGAUGGUAAAAGAUUUGUUCAUCCAGUUUGCAGCGAUGGUUACGAGCUAAGGAAAAAGUUUUUGAUACACAUACUCAAGUAUCUGGCUAAUGAAGUUGAAGACAACAUUCCUGAGAUCGUGCGAGAAUACCUUAGACGCGUCAACGGACCAUGGCUUUAAUAAAUAGUGUAUUCAGUCAUUUCUCUUCUACAAAAUGAAUUGUGCGAAGUGGAUCUUUAAAUAUUUUAAGUAUUAUAUAUUUAUUGUAUAUACUUUAAUAUUUGCAUGCAUUAUUUACACGCUUAUGCAUUUGACAUUACAU